UGGGGAAUAUUGCACAAUGGGCGCAAGCCUGAUGCAGCCAUGCCGCGUGUAUGAAGAAGGCCUUCGGGUUGUAAAGUACUUUCAGCGGGGAGGAAGGCGACAGGGUUAAUAACCCUGUCGAUUGACGUUACCCGCAGAAGAAGCACCGGCUAACUCCGUGCCAGCAGCCGCGGUAAUACGGAGGGUGCAAGCGUUAAUCGGAAUUACUGGGCGUAAAGCGCACGCAGGCGGUCUGUCAAGUCGGAUGUGAAAUCCCCGGGCUCAACCUGGGAACUGCAUUCGAAACUGGCAGGCUAGAGUCUUGUAGAGGGGGGUAGAAUUCCAGGUGUAGCGGUGAAAUGCGUAGAGAUCUGGAGGAAUACCGGUGGCGAAGGCGGCCCCCUGGACAAAGACUGACGCUCAGGUGCGAAAGCGUGGGGAGCAAACAGGAUUGGAUACCCUGGUAGUCCACGCCGUAAACGAUGUCGACUUGGAGGUUGUGCCCUUGAGGCGUGGCUUCCGGAGCUAACGCGUUAAGUCGACCGCCUGGGGAGUACGGCCGCAAGGUUA
rnacentral:rRNA from 1 species